rnacentral:rRNA from 1 species
UACAGAGGGGGCGAGCGUUGUUCGGAAUUACUGGGCGUAAAGGGCGCGUAGGCGGCCUACUAAGUCAGACGUGAAAUCCCUCGGCUCAACCGGGGAACUGCGUCUGAUACUGGUGGGCUUGAAUCCGGGAGAGGGAUGCGGAAUUCCAGGUGUAGCGGUGAAAUGCGUAGAUAUCUGGAGGAACACCGGUGGCGAAGGCGGCAUCCUGGACCGGUAUUGACGCUGAGGCGCGAAAGCCAGGGGAGCAAAGCGGG